UACGAAGGGGGCUAGCGUUGCUCGGAAUCACUGGGCGUAAAGCGCACGUAGGCGGAUUGCUAAGUCAGGGGUGAAAUCCUGGAGCUCAACUCCAGAACUGCCCUUGAUACUGGCGGUCUCGAGUCCGGGAGAGGUGAGUGGAACUGCGAGUGUAGAGGUGAAAUUCGUAGAUAUUCGCAAGAACACCAGUGGCGAAGGCGGCCAACUGGACGAGUACUGACGCUGAGACACGAAAGCGUGGGGAGCAAACAGGA
rnacentral:rRNA from 1 species